rnacentral:rRNA from 1 species
AAGAUUUAUCGGUGAUGGAUGGGGAUGCGUCUGAUUAGCUUGUUGGCGGGGUAACGGCCCACCAAGGCGACGAUCAGUAGGGGUUCUGAGAGGAAGGUCCCCCACAUUGGAACUGAGACACGGUCCAAACUCCUACGGGAGGCAGCAGUGAGGAAUAUUGGUCAAUGGGCGAGAGCCUGAACCAGCCAAGUAGCGUGCAGGAUGACGGCCCUAUGGGUUGUAAACUGCUUUUAUAAGGGAAUAAAGUGAGAGUCGUGACUCUUUUUGCAUGUACCUUAUGAAUAAGGACCGGCUAAUUCCGUGCCAGCAGCCGCGGUAAUACGGAAGGUCCGGGCGUUAUCCGGAUUUAUUGGGUUUAAAGGGAGCGUAGGCCGGAGAUUAAGCGUGUUGUGAAAUGUAGACGCUCAACGUCUGCACUGCAGCGCGAACUGGUUUCCUUGAGUACGCACAAAGUGGGCGGAAUUCGUGGUGUAGCGGUGAAAUGCUUAGAUAUCACGAAGAACUCCGAUUGCGAAGGCAGCUCACUGGAGCGCAACUGACGCUGAAGCUCGAAAGUGCGGGUAUCGAACAGGAUUAGAUACCCUGGUAGUCCGCACGGUAAACGAUGGAUGCCCGCUGUUGGUCUGAAUAGGUCAGCGGCCAAGCGAAAGCAUUAAGCAUCCCACCUGGGGAGUAC